rnacentral:tRNA from 1 species
CAAAUGUAGCUUAAUCAAAGCCCUCCGCUUACACCGGAGCGACAUCUGUGAAAUCCUGAUCAUUUUGAGCUCAACACCU